UGAUUCAUUCGUAUUCUCAAAUAAUAAUAAUAAUAGUAAUAAUAAUAAUGAUAAUAAUAAUAAUAAUAAUAAUAAUAAUAAUAAUAACAAUAAUGUUAAAAAUAAUGACGACGAUAACGAAGACAACGACGAAGUAUCAAAAUCGAGGAGUUCUCUUACAUCGAACUCGAUGUUCAAUCUUUAUAUCAAAGUUUGUAAACGUUGAAGUUUGGUAAAGUCGACGUCGAGGUGUAUCGUAAAAUUUCGUCUCGUAACUGUUCCUUCGGACAUAACAGUGUGAAAAGCGUACUCGUAUACCUGUCUAUCUACCUUCAACAACAACAAGUUAGCAUACCUCUUACCUACGGAGUUUGUUGGAUAGACGUGAAAUUGCGGGGCUGUUGAUUAUGCGUCGCAUUGCUUCAUUUCACGCACGGUACCCUCUUCUUUAGUUAGUUUAACAAGCUUCGGAAAGUAGUCCUAAUGGAUAUUUGCGGCCUCAACGUACGUCCAAUUAAAUCCUCACAGCUAUAUGUAUUUUCUCUCUCUCUCUCUCUCUCUCUCUCUCUCUGUCUCUCUUUCUCUCUCUAUCUAUUUCUCUCUUUCUCAACUCGCAGUAUAAAAUAUGAAUAAUAAUUUAAAAAGAAAAACGAUAAUUUGAAAGAACUUGUAACGAUUCGAUAAACGACUUGAUCGAAUUUAUUUAAACGUAUAAUUACUUAAAAUCAUUAUUCGUAUAAUCAUUAUUUAUUAAUUAUCCCUUCGUCGUUGAAAACGAGAGGAAAAAAAAGAGAAAAAGAAGAAAAAAAAAGAAAUAAAAAGAGAAAAUUGAUUUCAAUUGAAUGCAGUAUUCCGUAACAAAUGGAGGUAAAAUCGAAAAUAUGAAAGACAAAGGGCGGCCGUUUUAAUAUACGCAUGAAAUGAACGAGAAAUAUAAUAGACUUUUAAUUUAUCUGGAAAAUUAUAUAAAAUAUUGGAAAUAAUAUCGUACGUGCUCGCCAUACGUCGAAACGAAAAUAUGAGAAUUAAUGGAAAGCCAAAAUCUACUCUUGUUUAUUUUAUCUUUAUUAUUAUUAUUAUUAUUUCUUCUUUUUUUUGAGGGAGGGGUGUGUUUCAUUUCUUUUUUUCUCCUUCGUUUUUUUUUUUUCAUUCUACAUUAUCCCUUUUUGUCUCCGUACAAAAGUAAUUUCGUGGUUGAUAAUAACAAUGGCAACCUAACGUAAGUGCAAGCCAAAUAGAGAUAUUUAAAUCUCGAGAGAUUAAUAAUGCGCGAGUUAGAAAGCGAGUCAGUGCGAAGUAAUUCAGGAGAGUUUUCAAACGUUACAAGGAGCUACGUCGUUAUAAUUGCACUUUCCCCUUGCGAUAUUACAAAAGCAAUAUUCGAGCUUGUCUUUCUUUAACGUUUGUUGUAGGUACGUGCAUUUGUCAAUAUAUAUAUAUAUAUAUGUGUGUGUGUGUACAUGUAUAAAUUCGUGUAUAUUAUAAAUAUAUAUGUGUAUAUAUUAUAAAUAUAUUAUAAAUAUAUAUUAUAAUUUAUAAUAACAGAAGAGAUCGAUGAUUACGUGAUCGAUGACGGACGAUUUUUUUUAUACGUUUCUAUUUAAAGAAAUAUACGUUCUGUGUGGUAUAUCAUGCAUACAACAUCAUAUAUUUCCCUAUUAGAUAGUACACGAGUAAACGAAGAAAAAGUACAAAUGUUACAACCGCAGAACCAUUCGCAUAUGAAUUUUUUCUUCGUUCUCAGUACGAUUCGCUACGGUUUCUGUUUUUCCACAGGCCUUUUUAUAAAGAGAGUCGAGCCAGAUAUAUCUCGUGGUUUCCUUUUACAUGUCUCUCUCUCUCUCUCUCUCAAUCUCUUUCUCGAACAACCUUCUUUGAUCCAACGAACUUAUUCGAAAGUCGUAUGGAACCUUUCCGUACUUGAUAUUUUGCGAAAGAAAUGUGUUUUAAAAUGAUGGACAGUUACAUUUGACGUCAAAAAGAUUACGAUAAAAGUAUUGCCAAAAGGUAUCAUGACGCAUGAGAGAUACUCUUAUGAUUUAUAUGGGAAAUCGGAAAUAAAAAUAACGCGUAAAAUUCGAGACUAAGGGAAAGAGAAAACAAGAGAGACAGAGAGAGAGAGAGAGAGAGAGAGAGAGAGAAAGCAAGAGAAGUUUGGAUGCGGCUUGUGCACGUAGUAACUAAGCUGGUGCGCCAUCAAACAACUCUAACUUAACUUCGCCCUCUGUUUUCUCUCUCUCUCUCUUUCUCUUCCUCUCUCUCUCUCUCUCUCUCUCUGUCUCUAUCCCUCUCCAUCUAUUUCGCUCUAUCUCUGUCUUUCCGCGAAGAGUUCUUCGUUACCUUCUUGUUUCCAUUAAGGGUGAUGUAGUGCGUGAAACGCUUUAUCCUCGUUCCUUACAUGACUCCACCUACUUUAUCUUCUCUUCUACCUAUUCAAGCUCUCCUAUGUUUUCUAUCCUUUUUUAAACAACUCGAACCGAACGAUCGAUUGAUUUUUCAAAUAUAUAUAUAUAUAAAUUUAUUUGUGUGUGUGUGUGUGGAUAUGUAUAUAUAUAUAGAUAGAUAUAUCAUCUAGACUAAAUCAUAUUUCAUCCCAUGAUUUUAUCUCGAACAAAUAUAUAUAAAUACUUACAUAAAUGGACACGUAAAUAUGUCCAUCCGUCUGUCUUUCUCUUUAUUUCCUUUUCCCCCUCCUCUCUGUUUCUCUCUCUCUCGCUCUAUUUUAUUUUUAUAUUCUCUUUUUUCAUCCAUACGAAUUAAUGGCCUAUCAAAAUUUCGUACCUGUCAAGUUCACGAGCAGAUAAGCACGGACGAUAAUCAUCGUAAUCGCCGAAACGUGUCGCGUCGAAAUUCGCAUAUUUAUGACGUGUUGAAUUUUAUAGCUCGUUGCAAAAUUGCGGUGAACAACGAGAUAGGUGGGAGGAGGACAGAGAGAGAAAAAGAGAAAGAGAGAAACAGAGAGAGAGAGAGAGAGACAAAGAAAAAGAGAGAUAGAAAGAAAGAGAGAAAGAAACAGAGAAACAGAGAGAGAGAGAGAGAGAGAGAGAGAGAGAGAGAAAGGACGAAGAGUUGCGUAGAAAUAGGGUUCUUCCUACACUCUCAUCCCCUCCCCUUCCUGGUAAACCCUCAGGGAAGGCAUUCGAACGAAAAAAGCUCUAUGUUUUCAGUCGUUCAACCAUUGUACCACCGGACUCUUAUGAAUAUUUAAUUUUCUUUCUCGUAAGCUCGCAUCCGCAUAUUCUCUCUCUUUCCCUCACUCUCUCUCCCUCCCUCUCUCCCUCUGUUUCUUUUUGACGCAGAUGUUUUUCCAUAAUUUCUGGACAUUUUUUUGCGUGUGUCGAGCCAAAGGGGUUCUUACGCUGUGUUGAGCAAAACUCUCCGACCGAGAAAAAGAAACAGGUAGAAAGGGGUAGAGGAGAGUGAAGUGGAUAGUCUUCUCUUUCUCUCUCUCUCUCUCUUUCUCCUAACCCCUUUUACUCUGUUUCUUUUUUUUCCGUUCUCGUCGACGGUAGACGAACUGCGAAAGAGAGAGAACUUGUUUGGAAACGGUUGAAAAGGCUCAUGAGCGUGGGAUUUAUUUACUCGACGACUACUUCUACAUAAAAUACUCCCAUUAGCCAAUUAUUUGGUAGCAUAACAUUUCGAGACUCUCUUUCUCUCUCUCCCUCCCUCCCUCUCUCUCUCUCUCUCUCUCUCUCUCUCUCUCUCUCUCGCUCUCGACACCCUCUUUUCCUCUCUUCUUCCCUUUUACCCUUUUCGUUCAGUCCUUUGGACCAAAGGAAGACUAACAUCAGUAAAAGAGGGAACAUCGUUUCGGCAAAUUUUUUCUAGAACACGAACUAAAUCCCUUCUCGGUUAUAUAAUAACGUGUUAUCGCGAAAUGUGAGAUAUUUAAACCAAGCAUUUCGCAGAUCAUGGCUUGUUCGUGUUCAUGGUCGUAAACGUAAUCGUGGUCUUGGUCUCGGUACUGAUCCUGGUCCUAGUCCUAGUCCUGGGUUGCGUAAAACUGGAAAUUUCAAAUCUCUUUUUUAACCAAAAAAUAUGAUGAUCCUGUUCCCUUGAAAUAUGUUAUUAUAUAUACCUUUCGUAUGUGCUUACGUACGCCACGUACGUACGUACAUACAUAAAUACCUACGUAUUAUAUCACUUUGAAAUCACAGCUCGUAAUCCUCGUGAAAAUAGCUUUUCAAACAUUCGAGCAUAAAAAUCCGAAAAUCCAGAAAACGAGGGGAGAGAUUUCUUUUCGAUGGUAUUUCUUUUUCUCUUCCUUUUUUUCCCCUUUCUUUUUCUUUUUUUUUUUUUUGUUCUUUCCUUCGAAGUCCUUCCACGCAUUACGUACAGAACGAAAUAUAGGUAGGUAUGUACAAUAGAAGAGUGAGAAACUCAUCGAUUUUCCCAAUUCGAAAAUUUCUCUCUCUUUUUCAAAGAAUAAUCGAGCUUCUUAUAUAGAUACGAUUUUCAUUUCUCGAAUAUCUCGAAUGUUUGAUAACACGUAAAAAUAAAACUGACUGGAAUCGAACUUGCAUUUUCGCAUCGUAAUAUCUUACUCUCAUUCUUCGAUGUCUCUCUCUUUCUCUUUCUCUUUCUCUUUAUUAAACUUCUGCGCUAAAUAAAGACUCUCGUGAGCUGUCAUGAAAAACUAGUACAACUACUAACUCUUUCUCUCAUUGGAUCGCGUGUUUCAUUCUAUUUACGAGUUACUUCCUAGGUAACUAGGUAAAUUUCUACUAGGUAAGAUAUAUUAAAAGUACCAAUUACGCUGUCGCAUGAUUAAACUUAUAGCAUUUAAAUGUUACGCAAUGCCGCAGAGGAGAGGUAAAGAAUACAAAAAAAAAAAUAAAUAAAAAAGAAAUGAGAAAUAAGAAAAGAGAAACAAAAAAAAACAAAGAAAGAAAGAAAGAAAGAAAAAGAUUAGCGUGUAUUUUACUUUCGAAGGUUUUAUAGAGCAUUCAAAAAUGUGAAAUCGCGCGGGAAAGAAGGAAAGAAGUAAAGAAGGAAAGAAGGGUGAUUCGUGGUGGUGUGUUCCAUUCGUGUACGUGUGUGUAUGUUUCUAUAUGCCGAAAAAUAAAGGAGAGGGGAGACUCGGUGGAGGGAAUAGAGAGAAAGAGAGAGAGAGAGGAUUGCGUGAGGGUGGGGGGUGGAUUGGAUCUUGCGCCGUCCAGGCCAGCUGGCAGCAUCCCUCGGUAUCCCACGAGCCGUCGAAUGAAAACGUCGGCAGUCACUCGCGCGGAUCCUCACACGCGAGAUCACCGCUUUCUUUCGUUUCGUCAUAUUCAUCCUGUGUCCUUUAUUUCGUGAUCCUUCUCGAAACAUUUUCCGUUCGUUAUAAACGGAACCGACAGAGAGAAGAGGUAUAAAGUAUUCAAGGGCACCGCGCUGUUGUCCUUGACAUUCUCCAACGAAACGUGACACGCUGUUGUUGAUCGCGUUCAUACCAGACGCCCACUCGACAAAGUAACGUUUAACGUCGAUUCGGAAUUGUGAUUUACAUUGGCGCCAUCCUAGUUUCGAGAGACUCGCUUGGAUAAUACAUAAAGGCUAACAGUAAUUCACUUUACAUCGAGAGUAAAUAUCUGUAUUUGUUAAAUAUUUGAAAGCCUUCGUUUCGGACAAAAGAAAUAGAUAGAUAGAUAGAUAGAUAGAUAGAUAGAUAGAUAGAUAGA